GAGGCCGUGGCGGCGUGCUAUACAUGCAGUCGAACGCUUCUUUUCCCACCGGAGCUUGCUCCACCGGGAAAAGAGGAGUGGCGAACGGGUGAGUAACACGUGGGUAACCUGCCCAUCAGAAGGGGAUAACACUUGGAAACAGGUGCUAAUACCGUAUAACAAUCGAAACCGCAUGGUUUCGUUUUGAAAGGCGCUUUACGGUGCCGCUGAUGGAUGGACCCGCGGUGCAUUAGCUAGUUGGUGAGGUAACGGCUCACCAAGGCCACGAUGCAUAGCCGACCUGAGAGGGUGAUCGGCCACAUUGGGACUGAGACACGGCCCAAACUCCUACGGGAGGCAGCAGUAGGGAAUCUUCGGCAAUGGACGAAAGUCUGACCGAGCAACGCCGCGUGAGUGAAGAAGGUUUUCGGAUCGUAAAACUCUGUUGUUAGAGAAGAACAAGGGUGAGAGUAACUGUUCACCCCUUGACGGUAUCUAACCAGAAAGCCACGGCUAACUACGUGCCAGCAGCCGCGGUAAUACGUAGGUGGCAAGCGUUGUCCGGAUUUAUUGGGCGUAAAGCGAGCGCAGGCGGUUUCUUAAGUCUGAUGUGAAAGCCCCCGGCUCAACCGGGGAGGGUCAUUGGAAACUGGGAGACUUGAGUGCAGAAGAGGAGAGUGGAAUUCCAUGUGUAGCGGUGAAAUGCGUAGAUAUAUGGAGGAACACCAGUGGCGAAGGCGGCUCUCUGGUCUGUAACUGACGCUGAGGCUCGAAAGCGUGGGGAGCAAACAGGAUUAGAUACCCUGGUAGUCCACGCCGUAAACGAUGAGUGCUAAGUGUUGGAGGGUUUCCGCCCUUCAGUGCUGCAGCUAACGCAUUAAGCACUCCGCCUGGGGAGUACGACCGCAAGGUUGAAACUCAAAGGAAUUGACGGGGGGCCCGCACAAGCGGUGGGAGCAUGUGGUUUAAUUCAAACCAACCCGAAAAACCUUACCAGGUCUUUGACUUCUUUUGACCACUCUAAAAAUAAACCUUCCCCUUUCGGGGGCAAAAUGACAGGGGGGGGAAGGGUUUGCCUCCCCCUUCUGUCCUGAAAAAGUUGGGGUUAAAUUCCCCCCAACAAGCCCCACCCCUUUUUUGUUAAUUUGGCCAUCCUUUAAUUUGGGGCACCCUA
rnacentral:rRNA from 1 species